rnacentral:misc_RNA from 1 species
GAUGAAGAACGUAGCGAAAUGCGAUAAGUAAUGUGAAUUGCAGAAUUCAGUGAAUCAUCGAAUCUUUGAACGCACAUUGCGCCCCUUGGUAUUCCAUGGGGCAUGCCUGUUCGAGCGUCAUUUGUACCUUCAAGCUUUGCUUGGUGUUGGGUGUUUGUCUCGCCUCCGCGUGUAGACUCGCCUCAAAACAAUUGGCAGCCGGCGUAUUGAUUUCGGAGCGCAGUACAUCUCGCGCUUUGCACUCACAACGACGACGUCCAAAAGUACAUUUUUACACUCUUGACCUCGGAUCAGGUACGGAUACCCGCUGAACUUAAGCAUAUCAAUAAGCGGAGGA